CCUACAGGGAGAAGGGAAGAGGAUUGCAAGGGCAGAAGCACCUGGGGAGAGCCCGCACCCAGACCUUCCGGAGCCGGCUGGCCGGCCAGGAGGACUUCCCACCCAUACAGCCACUUCUGGGUGCCCCCUCCACCCGAGGCUCUAGACGACCCCACCAGCCCAGAACUUUACUAGCCCGCUGAACCUUUCAGGCCUUCUCUGCUUUGGUCCGUUCCUCAGAGGCAGGGGCCCAGGCUACCUUGGAACUAACUGCACCAAGCCAAGCCCGCAGCCAUCUUUGGCAUCAGGGGUACAGGCCACUGCACCCAACUCCUGCUCUUUUCCCUUUCUUUUCUUUUUUCAGACAGAGUCUUGCUAUAUUGCUCUGGCUGGCCUUGAACUUGUAGCAAUCCUCCUGCCUCUGCCUCCUGUGUGCCAGGAUUGCAAGCAUGUGCCACCAUGCUCAACUUUCAGGGUGUCUUCUCUUUUUAAAUUCAUGUGUGUAGCGGUGUCUUGUGUGUGUGUCUGUGUGCACACCAGAAGAGGGUACCGGGCCCCAUGGGACUAUAGCCAUAGACAGUUGGGAGCUGUCAUAUGGGCGCUGGGAAUUGAACUCGGGACCUCUGGAAGAGAAGCCAGUGCUCUUAUCUCCAGCCUGCAUUGUGACUUUUCAUUCUUUCUUUCUUUUUGGUUUUUCAGACAGGGUUUCUCUGUGUAGCCCCGGCUAUGGCUCACUCUGUAGACCAGGUUGGUCUCGAACCCACAGAGACCCUCCUGCCUCUGCCUCUGCGUGCCACCGUGCCCAGCAUCUUUUCACAACUGCACUGUGAGCUUGUGAGACGGCAGCCAGCUCAGUGGAUAGUGUGUGAGCCUCACAACCUGAAUGUGAUCCAAGAGCCCACGGAAAGCCUUGGCUGUCCUGGAACUCACUGAGACCCGCCUGCCUCUGCCUCUCAGGGGCUGACGUUAAAGACGUGCGCGCCGCCUAAGCUGUAAAUGGUUCCUGAAGACCACACUGCACGCAGCUGCUGGCCACUGCGCGCCACGGCAGCCAGGCUCCACCCGCCAGCGCCUGUCAGCUUCUCCAACAGGGAGUGCUCCUCAAACACUCCUGACGCUACAGGAACUGGGACGACCGAAACGUCCAGGCUAGCCUUGAAUUCACGAACCCAAAGCAAUCCUGCUGCCUCAGUCUCCCUACCGCCGAAACGACACGCAUGAACCGCUCAGCACGCGUGGCUCCGCCCAGCUCUACGCGCACUGUCUGGAACACGUGUGGAACACGCAGUCCUUACACUUCCGAGUAGGAAUCGGCUUACCCCACCCAGUUGCCAAACAAAAAUAAGACAUAAAAAGUCAAGGAGGGCUGAGACAUCUCUCGGCACGGAGCAUCUGCCUCGUAUCCACGAGGCCUGAGCCCCAGCCUCAGCCACACGCACACGCAGGCACCAACACACAGCAGCAGCCAAACCAAAAUAGAAACGAUGUUGUCCCAAAUCUGGAAGUCUCCGCAGUGGGGUGUACCAGGCUGGGGCGCCACGGAGGGCGGGGCUCUCCGCCGCGCUCUGCCGGGCCUGAGAGCCGGGAGCGCGCGCAGGACUGACCCUUCGUGCUGAUACCGCGCAGGUCGGUGAUCUUCAUGAGCAUCCGCGGGAACAUGUAGGGCUGGCUGGGCCUCCGGCGCCGCGCGUACAGCCUCAGCGCCUCCAGCAGCGGCUCCUGCAGCCUGUCCACCUUCUCGGGCUCCUCCAGGUCCAUGCGGUCUACACAGACACAGCGGCGGCGGCCUCAGAGCCCUCGCUACUGGCACACGGCCCCCAGGGCGCGCCCCUUAAGGAAGGCCGCAGCCAGGCUUGCGCGUGCCCUACCCUCCGCCUCCUUCCUCUUCCCCUAGCUCGGCGAGCCGGAGAGCCUACCCACGAUCUGGGAAGUCGGUAAGGUGGGUGGGCGGCAACAGUUCCCCGAAGAGAUCCCCAGGCCUCCCCCCGACCGGCUGGGGCGUGGCGGGAGAGGGAGCCCGCGAAGACGCCAGGGGGCGCCCCCGCACCUCCGCAGAUGAGGCAGAUGGCGCUGAGCAGCCCGGUCUCCGUGUCAUCCAUCUCCAGGGGCAGGAGCUGCCCAGCAAAGGCAAAGACGAGGUCUGUGAGGGGCCCAAAGCCGGCGUUGUGCAUCUGGGUACGGUUCAGGGUCAGCCCGUCCGAGAACGUCAUGGUGUCCUGCUCCGGGGUGUACCUCGUGCAGAUCCGCAGCAUCUGGACGUGGGCACGGGGAAGGACGGUGGUUAGCGCUGCCUCUGAGCAAGGCCUCCUAAGUAAAACCGAGGAGUAAGGCAGCGCGGCGGAGCUCUGCGACGGAAAGGGCAGGCCGGGCCAACCAGGACGCAAAGGCUUGGCCCGCAACCCCCAGGCCUCACUCACUAGGAUGUCCAGGCAGGCAGCCUUGAGCAGAGUGAUCUGGUCGGCGAUGCUGAGUCCUGUGAAACCAGGCAAGCGCUUGGCGAACUCCACGAUUUUGAUGAUGCACUUGGUGGCCAGCUCGCUGAACUUGUCCCACAGCCCCAGGUCCAGCUGCACCCGGUGAUCUGCACUGGAGUUCUGCGGGGAGGAAGGGGGGUCGGAAGUGUAAAGGACCCCCGCCCCCAACGGGAGCGCCCCCGCUGCAGCCGACCCCAGCCAUGCCUGACCCGAGGCACGCAGGGCCCUCCCUCAGCCGGGCGCUGCCCACUCCUCACCGUGGUGUACUUGCCCAGCUGGCAGAGCGAGGGGAACGUCUCCUGGUGGGCUUUGCUGACCUUGGUGAUGAGCUCUUCCAACUGUGGACUCAGCUCAUAGCUGUCAGGUGAGCUCUCCUCCUUUACCUCUUUCUUCUUCUUGUUCCGGUCAUUCCUUACAGCUUGUGGUUGGAGGCAAAGGGAAGGAUCAACACUCUCAGCAUCUCUCUGACUCUCCCUCAGCCUAGCUCAGUGCGUUCACUUCUCACUGAGAAUAUAGAUUUAUUCCCCGGAGCCCUAAUUAGUGCCUUAGUUUCCCUCUCUGCUACGUAAGUUCCUAUUUCCAGGCUGCUCUGCCCCGGCCCCACCCAGGGCCUACAGCCUGCUCUCUCCCCAGGCCAAAGCGGCUCCAUCCUGCCCUUCCGGUUGCCCUGCAGGAGCUGGGGGCAGGAUAUGCAGGCAGGAUAUCCACUUAUAGCCUUGGCAGCACAAUGGUGGGGGGGGCAGAAAGGAGGGGCCAUCUCAGCACCAUCUCACGAUCUGUCCCGUGAAAGACCAGCCCCGCUCUCUGCCCACCAAACAGAAGAGGGGCCCCAAUGCCAGGUUUCAGAGCGGGGAGGCUGGCAGAGGCCUUGGCCGGCAGGGCGGGAGGGCGAGCACCCACCUUCCUUGGACAUGCCCACUUGGAAACACUUCUGCAGCCGGCAGUACUGGCAGCGGUUCCGGGUCACCUUGUUGAUGAUGCAGUUCUUGUCGCGGUGACACGUGUACACCAUGUUCUUCUGGAUGCUGCGUCUGAAGAAGCCCUGGGUGGGGGCGCAGGAGAGUGUUUCCUAAACAACACAGUGGCCCGGCCCUGACCCAGCCUGCUGUUUGUUUGUCUAGGGUGCGAGUGUGAAGGAGAGAGUGAGAGAACCAGGGCUUCUGCACCCAACAGCUGAGCUACAUCCCCAGCACCUCACCCAAGCUGUCCCUUGUGCGUGCGGCACGGGCAAAACUCGUGUGAGGACAGCACCUGGUUCCCUCGUCUUUAAAAUGCUUUUUAUCCAUCUGUCCAUCUGUCUGUCUAUCUAUCGAUCACUAUCUUUGGUCUUUAGUUAGUUAGUUUUUUAAGACAGGGUUUCCCCGUGUAUCCCUGGCUGUCCCGGACUCACUCUGUAGCCCAGGCUGGCCUCGAACUCACAGAGAUCCUCCUGCCUCUGCCUCCCAAGCGCUGAGAUUAAAGACAUGUGCACCACCA